rnacentral:misc_RNA from 1 species
AAGCAAGUUGAAUAUCUCAGUCACAUCUACCAGAUGCUGCCUUCGUGUGUAAAGCCUCGCAUUGUAGUAAAGGUAUGGAACACACAAUAGUGACAUAAACCAAUGCCCGGUUAGGAGAUAUAACAAGCAUAAAACUCCUUCGGUUACAUACUCCGGCAAUAUAACUUUGUUUAUCCGAGAUGAGGAGUCAUAAGGAUUGAUAUAAUCAAACUCCAAAUCUGCUAAGCACAUGAGCUGGAAGACGAGGAUGACUAUUAGGGCUACAAGGAAGAAGAACGAUAUGAGCCAUACAAACAGAUCCCCCAUGCUCCUUACCCUACUCUAUCUCUCUCCUUUCUCCUCCAAUCUUGCUUCGGGUUUCACAGGAAGACACACGAUAGCAACUCAUAACCGCCCGGUGUGGAAAGCUCACUCGACUCAGUUUUGCAUUUACCCAGAAGAUUUUUUUUUUCGCUUUUUUGUAAAAUAAUAAUCAGUACGAAAGUGAAUUAUCACUACGAAUCACUGUCUUUCUAAGUAAUUAAGUGUUUCUAAUAGGGCUGUGCAGAUUCUUGCGAAACCGGAUUGAAUCGGGAAU